rnacentral:rRNA from 1 species
GCUGGAUGCUGACGAGCGGCGGACGGGUGAGUAAUGCAUAGGAAUCUGCCCGAUAGUGGGGGAUAACCUGGGGAAACCCAGGCUAAUACCGCAUACGUCCUACGGGAGAAAGGGGGCUCCGGCUCCCGCUAUGGGAUGAGCCUAUGUCGGAUUAGCUAGUUGGUGAGGUAACGGCUCACCAAGGCCACGAUCCGUAGCUGGUCUGAGAGGAUGAUCAGCCACAUCGGGACUGAGACACGGCCCGAACUCCUACGGGAGGCAGCAGUGGGGAAUAUUGGACAAUGGGGGAAACCCUGAUCCAGCCAUGCCGCGUGUGUGAAGAAGGCCCUCGGGUUGUAAAGCACUUUCAGCGAGGAAGAACGCCUAACGGUUAAUACCCGCUAGGAAAGACAUCACUCGCAGAAGAAGCACCGGCUAACUCCGUGCCAGCAGCCGCGGUAAUACGGAGGGUGCAAGCGUUAAUCGGAAUUACUGGGCGUAAAGCGCGCGUAGGUGGCUUGAUAAGCCGGUUGUGAAAGCCCCGGGCUCAACCUGGGAACGGCAUCCGGAACUGUCAAGCUAGAGUGCAGGAGAGGAAGGUAGAAUUCCCGGUGUAGCGGUGAAAUGCGUAGAGAUCGGGAGGAAUACCAGUGGCGAAGGCGGCCUUCUGGACUGACACUGACACUGAGGUGCGAAAGCGUGGUAGCAACAGGAUUAGAUACC